UACGUAGGGUGCAAGCGUUGUCCGGAAUUAUUGGGCGUAAAGAGCUCGUAGGCGGCUUGUCGCGUCGGCUGUGAAAACCUGGGGGCUCAACCCCGGGCCUGCAGUGGGUACGGGCAGACGUAGAGUGCGGUAGGGGAGACUGGAAUUCCGUGGUGUAGCGGUGAAAUGCGCAGAUAUCAGGAGGAACACCGGUGGCGAAGGCGGGUCUCUGGGCCGUAACUGACGCUGGAGGAGCGA
rnacentral:rRNA from 1 species